ACAUCACCGGUUCCCGUACGAUCACCGAAGUUAAGCAACGUCGAGCCUUUUCAGUACCUUGAUGGGUGACUGCUUGAGAAUACCAAGUGCUGUAA